UACGAAGGGGGCUAGCGUUGUUCGGAAUCACUGGGCGUAAAGGGCGCGUAGGCGGCCGAUCAAGUCGGGGGUGAAAGCCUGUGGCUCAACCACAGAAUUGCCUUCGAUACUGGUUGGCUUGAGACCGGAAGAGGUAAGUGGAACUGCGAGUGUAGAGGUGAAAUUCGUAGAUAUUCGCAAGAACACCAGUGGCGAAGGCGGCUUACUGGUCCGGUACUGACGCUGAGGCGCGAAAGCGUGGGGAGCAAAGCAGG
rnacentral:rRNA from 1 species